AACGAACGCUGGCGGCAGGCUUAACACAUGCAAGUCGACAGCUCCGCAAGGGGAGCGGCAGACGGGUGAGCAACACGUGGGGAUCUGCCCGAUGGUAUGGAAUAACUCAGGGAAACUUGUGCUAAUACCGUAUGCGCCCGCAAGGGGAAAGAUGUAUCGCCAUCGGAUGAACCCGCGUCAGAUUAGCUAGUUGGUGUGGUAAAGGCGCACCAAGGCGACGAUCUGUAGCCGGUCGGAGAGGAUGGUCAGCCGCACUGGGACUGAGACACGGCCCAGGCUCGUACAGGAGGCGGCAGUGGGGAAGAUUGGACAAUGGGCGCAAGCCUGAUCCAGCCAUGCCGCGUGAGUGAUGAAGGCCUUAGGAUUGUAAAGCUCUUUCGCCGACGAAGAUAAUGACGGUAGUCGGAGAAGGAGCCCCGGCUAACUUCGUGCCAGCAGCCGCAGUAAGAC
rnacentral:rRNA from 1 species